UCUCCGAUCGUAUAGUGGCUAGUAUGCCAGCUUGUCAAGGAACACCAAGUUCUACAAUUCGCUGGAGACCGGGGUUCAAUUCCCCGUCGGAGAG